UGCACCUGUGUGGAGUUUACUGUGAACCUUCAACAUCAAAUCACAGAUUCAGAGAGAAGAGUGUUCUGCAGCCAGAGGGGAUGUAGAAACAAACUAGCUGUGACAGAGACCUGAUGCAGAUAGGCGUGACCUGGAGGUGAGGAGCCCACUGGCAUGAAGGCUGGCCAAGCCCUGGAGAGGACAGCCUCUGUCCACCAGCUUGCAGAAGGGGUUACAUGCCAAAGGACUCUCCCACAACUUCUGCUGAAAAACUCUUAUCAGAGAUGGCAAAACCAGACUUUUUAGAUUUCACGUGGAUUCACAUUUGUUACAUAAUGCACCCGUGCUUUAUGUUUUCUAAAGGAUUAUGAAAGAAAACCAUUUGACUUCCUCGGGUUUCCAGUGAUGUUCACAUCCCUCUGGGCUGUUUGAAAUGCUUGAUUGAGAUCAUAUGGUGUGCUUACAGAUGUGGUAUGCUUAUUCAGUUGUGUGUCUGUAUUUAAAGUCAGUUUAUGUGCAUCCCAGUUUGUAUAAAUGUAUGUAAAGAUAUCUAGAAACAUACAAAUGUAUUUAUAUAAAACUAGAUCACUCUGUAUCUCCCAAGGACAAAUGCCUUAUUUUGACACAUUAUGCUGAGGUACUUCUGUUAUGACAUGGUGUUAGCCUUCAUGUCACUGUUGCUUAUCAUCUUUUGCACUCAGUCCACCUUCCAGCUAAACUGGAAGGAAGUAUUGAGUUUGAGGUACCAUAAAUGCUAGAUGUUUGUGGGAUGACAUUUUAUAUGUGCUAUUUUAUUUUUAAAUUUCCUACAAGUUGUUUCAGCUGCUGAUUUUCAGUGUUGCUGCUGUUGCUAAUCUGGCAAACAAAGUGCAUUAACUAUGUCUGUUUGGUGAUCACGUUGGUGAAGUGCUGAGAAAAAGUGCUAUUAUUUUGUAAAGGAUGUUGUUUCUGUGUUUCCUUGUCCCUUUCUGUGUUUCUUAUCAUUCAUAUUCAACUGAGCUCCAUUUGUUUUACAAAUGGAAAGGAAAAAGUCCAUCAGAACCAAGUUAAAGGGAUGCUUAAUUAAGUCCAGUGUCCCAGGUUCUUUCUGAUAAUGCUCCCAAAGGAAAACAGUAAAAUAAUGGUUUUCAAUAUGACCUGUUUCUGACAAUGUCAUCGUCUCACCUGUGAACUCAUUGUUUCUCAUCUGGCAUGAAAUGGUAAUGAAAAUCUAUAAAUUAAACAUUUUAUUUUUUUUA